UAGCUUAGUGGUAAAGCUGCGGACUCUUAAUCCGUUGACGAGGGUUCGAUUCCUUC
rnacentral:tRNA from 1 species